GGUAUGGGAUGAGCUUGCGUCCGAUUAGCUAGUUGGCGGGGCAACGGCCCACCAAGGCGACGAUCGGUAGCCGGCCUGAGAGGGUGAUCGGCCACAUUGGGACUGAGAUACGGCCCAGACUCCUACGGGAGGCAGCAGUAGGGAAUAUUGCACAAUGGGGGAAACCCUGAUGCAGCAACGCCACGUGUGGGAAGAAGCAUUUCGGUGUGUAAACCACUGUCGUGAGGGAAUAAGGCGUCUUCUCGGAGACGUUGAAUGUACCUUGAAAGGAAGCACCGGCAAACUUCGUGCCAGCAGCCGCGGUAAUACGAGGGGUGCAAGCGUUGUUCGGAAUCACUGGGCGUAAAGGGAGCGUAGGCGGAGAUGCAAGCGGACUGUACAAUACCGGGGCCCAACCCCGGGCCUGCAGUUCGGACUGCACCUCUUGGAUAGUUCAGGGGCAGGC
rnacentral:rRNA from 1 species